rnacentral:rRNA from 1 species
GGUUUGAUCAUGGCUCAGAUUGAACGCUGGCGGGAUGCUUUUACACAUGCAAGUCGAACGGCAGCACGGACUUCGGUCUGGUGGCGAGUGGCGAACGGGUGAGUAAUGUAUCGGAACGUGCCUAGUAGCGGGGAUAACCACGCGAGCGUAGCUAAUACCGCAUACGCCCUUCGGGGGAAAGCGGGGGACCUUCGGGCCUCGCACUAUUAGGAGCGGCCGAUAUCGGAUUGAAGCAGUUGGUGGUACCGGCUCGCUCAAGGCGACGAUCCGUAGCUGGUUUGAGAGGACGACCAGCCACACUGGGACUGAGACACGGCCCAGACUCCUACGUGAGGCAGCAGUGGGGAAUUUUGGACAAUGGGGAAACCCCAUCCAGCCAUCCCGCGUGUGCGAUGAAGGCCUUCGGGUUGUAAAGCACUUUGGCAGGAAAGAAACGGCACGGAGCAAUACCCUGUGCAACUGACGUACCUGCAGGGUUGCUACACCGGCUAACUACAGCCAGCAGCCGCGGUAAUACGUAGGGUGCAAGCGCGACCGGAAUUCGACGGGCGGAAGCGUGCAGGCGGUUCGGAAAGAAAGAUGUGAAAUCCCAGAGCUUAACUUUUGGAACCGGCAUUUUUAACUACCGGAGCUAGGAGUGUGUCAGAGGAGGUAAUUCCUGCGUAGCAGUGAAAUGCGUAGAUAAGGUGGGAGGAACACCGAUGGCGAAGGCAGCCUCGAUAACACUGACGCUCAUGCACGAAAGCGUGGGGAGCAAACAGGAUUAGAUACCCUGGUAGUCCACGCCCUAAAACGAUGUCAACUAGCUGUUGGGGCUCGGGCCUGAAGCGCAGCUAACGCGGUUGACCGCCUGGGGGAGUAUGUCGCAAGAUUAAAACUCAAAGGAAUUGACGGGGACUCGCACAAGCGGUGGAUGAUGUGGAUUAACUGAUGCACGAAAAACCUUACCUACCCUUGACAUGUCUGGAACUCGAAGAGAUUUGGGGAGUGCCUGCAAGAGAACCGGAACACAGGUGCUGCAUGGCUGUCGUCAGCUCGUGUCGUGAGAUGUUGGGUUAAGUCCCGCAACGAGCGCAACCUUGUCAUUAGUUGCGCGCAUGAAAGGGCACUUAAUGAGAUCAAGCCGACAAACCGAGGAAGGUGGGGAUGACGUCAAGUCCCUCAUGGCCCUUAUGGGUAGGGCUUCACACGUCAUACAAUGGUCGGGACAGAGGGUCGCCAACCCAGGCGAGGGGAGCCAUAAUCCUAGAAACCCGAUCGUAGGUCCGGAUCGCAGUCUGCAACUCGACUGCGGAAGCCUGGAAUCGCUAGUAAUCGCGGAUCAAGAUGUCGGGUGAAUACGUUCCCGGGUCUUGUACACACCGCCCGGGUCAAGCACCAUGGAGUGGGUUUUACCAGAAGUAGUUAGCCUAACCGUAAGGAGGGCGAUUACCACGGUAGGAUUCAUGACUGGUGAAAGCCUUCGUAACAAGGUAG